GUGUUCAAUUCGGCAGUACAUAUACGAAAACUGUUAACAAUGCAGAGAAGAUCAGGACGGCCCCUGUGCAAAGAUGACAUGCCAAUCCGUGAAGCAUUGCACAUGAAA